AGUGAACGCUGGCGGCGGGCUUAACACAUGCAAGUCGAACGAAGCACCUCUCCCGAAUAGUGACACAGCUUGCUGUGGAUUGAUUCGUUGGAGGUGACUUCGGGGCGUACUGUUUAGUAAGGCGUGGGUAAGCUGCCUCAUCGCGGAUGACGACUGCUAGCAACGACUACUAGUACCGCAUAUUAGGAACAAUUCCCAUGUUUUCUUCUUAUAAUAUUUUUCCCUAUUAGAUGGACCCGCGCCUGAUUAGGUAGCUGUUAAGGUAACGGCUUACCAAGGGGACGACAAGUAGACGGGUUGAGAGGGUGAACGGACACAUUGGCACUGAGACACGGCCGAAACUACUACGGGAGGCAGGAGUGGGGAAUACUGCACAAUGGGGUAAAUCCUGAUGCAGCUAGGCUGCGUGAGUGAAGAAGUAUUUAGGUAAGUAAAGCUCUAUCAGCACCCAAGAUAAUGACGGUACCCGACUAAGAAGCCCCGGCUAACUACGUG
rnacentral:rRNA from 1 species